UUAACCUGAGUUACUAGUAGGGAUGUGCGCGACGACUAAUUUUACUGUCGUUUAAACGAAAGUUUUGUAUCCGACUAGUCUAAAAGCAAGAACCCCC